rnacentral:rRNA from 2 species
GUGGAUUCUCAAGCGUGAGGUAAGAGCAUUUGGUGGAUGCCUUGGCAUGUACAGGCGAUGAAGGACGUGGCACGCUGCGAUAAGCGUCGGGGAGUUGUGAGCAAACUUUGAUCCGGCGAUUUCCGAAUGGGGAAACCCACCUUCACCAUUUCUUCUCUUGUCCCCCUGAUCUUCGGAUUGGGUCGGAUCGGUGGAGAGGUGGAUUAGGUAUCACCGAGCUGAAUAUAUAGGCUUGGUGAAGCGAACCCGGGGAACUGAAACAUCUCAGUACCCGGAGGAAAAGACAUCAACCGAGAUUCCGUUAGUAGUGGCGAGCGAACGCGGACCAGGCCAGUGCCUUCAUUUCAACUAGCAAAACAUUCUGGAAAGUUUGGCCAUAGCGGGUGAUAGCCCCGUAUGCGAAAGUGAUGAUGAAGGACUCGAGUAGGGCGGGACACGUGAAAUCCUGUCUGAACAUGGGGGGACCACCCUCCAAGCCUAAAUACUCGUACAUGACCGAUAGCGAACACAGUACCGUGAGGGAAAGGUGAAAAGCACCCCGAUUAGGGGAGUGAAACAGUACCUGAAACCGAAUGCUUACAAUCAGUUGGAGCCCCUUUGGGGGGUGACAGCGUACCUCUUGCAUAAUGGGUCAGUGACUUAAUCUACCAUGCAAGCUUAAGCCGUUAGGUGUAGGCGCAGCGAAAGCGAGUCUGAAUAGGGCGACGAAGUAUGAUGGAUUAGACCCGAACCCCGGCGAUCUAGGCAUGACCAGGCUGAAGGUGCGGUAACACGCACUGGAGGGCCGAACCGUUUAAUGUUGAAAAAUUAUCGGAUGAGUUGUGUUUAGGGGUGAAAGGCCAAUCAAGCCGGGAAAUAGCUGGUUCUCCGCGAAAUCUAUUGAGGUAGAGCGUCAGAUUUAUGCCAUCGGGGGUAGAGCACUGGAUGGGCUAGGGCGGCGCGAGCUGUACCAAACCUAACCAAACUCCGAAUACCGAUGAGUCUUGUCUGGCAGACAGACGGCGGGUGCUAAGGUCCGUCGUCAAAAGGGAAACAGCCCUAACCUACAGCUAAGGUCCCCAAGUCAUAUCUAAGUGGGAAAGCAUGUGGGAAUCCCAAAACAACCAGGAGGUUGGCUUAGAAGCAGCCAUCCUUUAAAGAAAGCGUAACAGCUCACUGGUCUAAAUAAGGGUUCCUGCGGCGAAGAUGUAACGGGGCUAAAGAUAUGCACCGAAGCUUAGGGUUCAUAGUUUACUAUGAGCGGUAGCGGAGCGUUCCGUAAGCGAGCGAAGGAGAAGGGUAACCGACUCUGGACGUAUCGGAAGUGCGAAUGCUGACAUGAGUAGCGAUAAAGAGGGUGAGAUGCCCUCUCGCCGAAAGACCAAGGGUUCCUGCGCAACGCUAAUCGGCGCAGGGUAAGCCGGCCCCUAAGACGAGCCCGAAGGGGGUAGUCGAUGGGAACCACGUUAAUAUUCGUGGGCCUGGAGAUGUGUGACGGAUGGCGGAAGUAGUUCGACCUUAUUGGAUUGGUCGGGCUGCCAAGUUGUCCCGGGAAAUAGCCUCUCCGUAUAGACCGUACCCGAAACCGACACAGGUGGUCAGGUAGAGUAUACCAAGGCGCUUGAGUGAAGUAUCCUGAAGGAACUCGGCAAAUUGCCUCCGUACCUUCGGAAGAAGGAGGCCCUGAAUCGAGGCAACUCUUUUCAGGGGGCACAGGCCAGGGGGUAGCGACUGUUUAUCAAAAACACAGGACUCUGCUAAGUCGGCUUCAAGACGACGUAUAGGGUCUGACGCCUGCCCGGUGCUGGAAGGUUAAGAGGAGGAGUGCAAGCUCCGAAUUGAAGCCCCAGUAAACGGCGGCCGUAACUAUAACGGUCCUAAGGUAGCGAAAUUCCUUGUCGGGUAAGUUCCGACCUGCACGAAUGGCGUAACGACUUCCCCACUGUCUCCAGGAUAUGCUCAGCGAAAUUGAAGUUCCCGUGAAGAUGCGGGAUACCCGCGGUUAGACGGAAAGACCCCGUGCACCUUUACUGCAGCUUCAGAGUGGCAUUAGGAAAGAACUGUGUAGCAUAGGUGGGAGGCUUUGAAGCGUGGGCGCCAGUCCGCGUGGAGCCAUAGGUGAAAUACCACCCUGUUGUUUUCUGAUGUCUAACCUCGAUCCGUUAUCCGGAUCAGGGACCCUCUGUGGCGGGUAGUUUGACUGGGGCGGUCGCCUCCUAAAGAGUAACGGAGGCGCGCGAUGGUAGGCUCAGGCUGGUUGGAAACCAGCUGCGAGAGUGCAAUGGCAUAAGCCUGCCUGACUGCGAGACUGACGAGUCGAGCAGAGACGAAAGUCGGUCAUAGUGAUCCGGUGGUCCCUCGUGGAAGGGCCAUCGCUCAACGGAUAAAAGGUACGCCGGGGAUAACAGGCUGAUACUGCCCAAGAGCUCAUAUCGACGGCAGUGUUUGGCACCUCGAUGUCGGCUCAUCACAUCCUGGGGCUGGAGCAGGUCCCAAGGGUUUGGCUGUUCGCCAAUUAAAGUGGUACGUGAGCUGGGUUCAGAACGUCGCGAGACAGUUUGGUCCCUAUCUGCCGUGGGCGUCGAUUGUUGAGAGGAGUUGCCCCUAGUACGAGAGGACCGGGGUGAACAUACCUCUGGUGUACCUGUCAUCGCGCCAGCGGUGCAGCAGGGUAGCUAUGUAUGGACGGGAUAACCGCUGAAAGCAUCUAAGCGGGAAGCCUCCCUCAAGAUAAGCAAUCAUCGAACCGUGAUAGACGAUCACGUUGAUAGGCUGGGUGUGGAAGCGCAGUAAUGCGUGUAGCUAACCAGUCCUAAUAGUUCUGUUCGCGCUUGGUGGAUCCCA